rnacentral:rRNA from 1 species
UGGGGAAUAUUGGACAAUGGGGGGAACCCUGAUCCAGCGACGCCGCGUGAGUGAAGAUGUAUUUCGGUAUGUAAAGCUCUAUCAGCAGGGAAGAAGAAAAGUACGGUACCUGACUAAGANGCCCCGGCUAACUACGUGCCAGCAGCCGCGGUAAUACGUAGGGGGCAAGCGUUAUCCGGAUUUACUGGGUGUAAAGGGAGCGUAGACGGUAGUGCAAGUCUGAAGUGAAAGGCGGGGGCCCAACCCCCGGACUGCUUUGGAAACUGUGCUGCUAGAGUGCAGGAGAGGUAAGUGGAAUUCCUAGUGUAGCGGUGAAAUGCGUAGAUAUUAGGAGGAACACCAGUGGCGAAGGCGGCUUACUGGACUGUAACUGACGUUGAGGCUCGAGAGCGUGGGGAGCAAACAGG